UCUCCGUAGGUGAACCUGCGGAGGGAUCAUUACAGAGUUCAUGCCCUACCGGGUAGAUCUCCCACCCUAUGUUAUUAUUACUUUGUUGCUUUGGCGGGCCGUUAGGCUCCGGCCUGGCUACCGGCUCCGGCUGGUAAGCGCCCGCCAGAGGACCCCAAACCCUGAAUGUUAGUGUCGUCUGAGUACUAUAUAAUAGUUAAAACUUUCAACAACGGAUCUCUUGGUUCUG
rnacentral:misc_RNA from 1 species